rnacentral:rRNA from 1 species
CAGCAGCCGCGGUAAUACGUAGGGUGCGAGCGUUAAUCGGAAUUAUUGGGCGUAAAGGGCUCGCAGGCGGUUUCUUAAGUCUGAUGUGAAAGCCCCCGGCUCAACCGGGGAGGGUCAUUGGAAACUGGGAAACUUGAGUGCAGAAGAGGAGAGUGGAAUUCCACGUGUAGCGGUGAAAUGCGUAGAGAUGUGGAGGAACACCAGUGGCGAAGGCGACUCUCUGGUCUGUAACUGACGCUGAGGAGCGAAAGCGUGGGGAGCGAACAGGAUUAGAUACCCCGGUAGUCCCUGUCUCUUAUAC